rnacentral:rRNA from 1 species
CAAAGGGAUUACCGGUGGCGGAUGGGCAUGCGGCGCAUUAGCUAGUCGGCGGGGUAACGGCCCACCGAGGCGACGAUGCGUAGGGGUUCUGAGAGGAAGGUCCCCCACACUGGUACUGAGACACGGACCAGACUCCUACGGGAGGCAGCAGUGAGGAAUAUUGGUCAAUGGGCGCGAGCCUGAACCAGCCAAGUCGCGUGAGGGAUGACGGUCCUACGGAUUGUAAACCUCUUUUGCCGGGGAGCAAGCGUGCGUUCGUGAACGCGCGUCGAGAGUACCCGGAGAAAAAGCAUCGGCUAACUCCGUGCCAGCAGCCGCGGUAAUACGGAGGAUGCGAGCGUUAUCCGGAUUUAUUGGGUUUAAAGGGUGCGUAGGCGGGAUGCCAAGUCAGCGGUAAAAAUGCGGUGCUCAACGCCGUCGAGCCGUUGAAACUGGCGUUCUUGAGUGGGCGAGAAGUAUGCGGAAUGCGUGGUGUAGCGGUGAAAUGCAUAGAUAUCACGCAGAACUCCGAUUGCGAAGGCAGCAUACCGGCGCCCUACUGACGCUGAAGCACGAAAGCGUGGGUAUCGAACAGGAUUAGAUACCCUGGUAGUCCACGCAGUAAACGAUGAAUGCUAACUGUCCGGCUCGAAUGAGCGCUGG